rnacentral:rRNA from 1 species
CCUACGGGGGGCUGCAGUGAGGAAUAUUGGUCAAUGGCCGGAAGGCUGAACCAGCGAUGCCGCGUGAAGGUCAGUGCCCUUUGGGCGUUAAACUUCUUUUGUGCGGGAGCAAUAAUGGUCACGUGUGGCCAGACGACAGUACCGUACGAAUAAGCAUCGGCUCACUCCGUGCCAGCAGCCGCGGUAAUACGGGGGGGGCAAGCGUUAUCCGGAUUUUUUGGGUUUGAGGGGGGCGUAAGCUGUGAGGUAAGUCAGCGGUGAAAUGCCCCCGGUCAACGGGGUGAAGUGCCAUUGAUACUGCCUUGCUGGAAUGCGGAUGACGUGGGAGGAAUGUGUGGUGUAGCGGUGAAAUGCAUAGAUAUCACACAGAACACCGAUUGCGAAGGCAUCUCACGAAUCCGCGAUUGACGCUGAUGCACGAAAGCGUGGGUAUCAAACAGGAUUAGAUACCCUUGUAGUC